rnacentral:rRNA from 1 species
GGGGGGGGGGGGGGGGGGGGGGGGGGGGGGGGGGGGGGGGGGGGGGACGGGGAGCUUGCGGCUCAGAGGUGCGCGGCGGGCGGGGGAGUGAGCCGGGGCGAGCUGGCCUAUAAGACUGGGAUAACUGCGGGCAACCGGAGCUAACUCCGGCCAAUAGGUUGAAACGCAUGGUUCGAUCGUGAUAGGGUUUUUUGCUGUCACUUGGAGGUGGAGCCGCGCCGCAUUAGCUAGUUUGUAAGGUAACGGCUUACCAAGGCAACGAUGCGUAGCCGCCCUGAGCGGGUGAACGUCCACACUGGAGCUGAAAAACGGUCCAGACUCCUACGGGCAGCAGCAGUAGGGAAACGUCCGCAAUGAGCGAAAACCUGACGGUGCAACGCCGCGUGAGUAAUGGAGGACUUAGGAUCGUAAAACUCUGUUAUUAGGGAAGAACAAAUGUGUAAGACACUAUGCACGUCUUGACGGUACCUAAACAGAAAGCCACGACUAACUACGUA